GUUAGGAAUAUUGGACAAUGGGCGCAAGCCUGAUCCAGCCAUGCCGCGUGAGUGAUGAAGGCCUUCGGGUUGUAAAGCUCUUUAGCCGAUGAUUAUAAUGACUGUAGUCGGAAAAUAAGCCCCGGCUAACUUCGUGCCAGCAGCCGCGGUAAUACGAAGGGGGCGAGCGUUAUUCGGAAUCACUGGGCGUAAAGCGUGCGUAGGCGGCUUUGCAAGUUGGGAGUGAAAGCCCAGGGCUCAAACCUGGAAUUGCUCUCAAAACUGCAAGGCUCGAAUUCGGGAGAGGAUAGCGGAAUUGUCAGUGUAGCAGUGAAAUGCGUAGAUAUUGACAGGAACACCAGUGGCGUAAGCGGCUAUCUGGACCGAUAUUGACGCUGAGGCACGAAAGCGUGGGGAUCAAACAGGAUUAGAUACCCGUGUAGUCC
rnacentral:rRNA from 1 species